rnacentral:rRNA from 1 species
UACGUAGGGUGCAAGCGUUGUCCGGAAUUAUUGGGCGUAAAGAGCUCGUAGGCGGUUUGUCGCGUCGGCUGUGAAAACUCGGGGCUCAACCCCGAGCCUGCAGUCGAUACGGGCAGACUAGAGUGCUGUAGGGGAGACUGGAAUUCCCGGUGUAGCGGUGAAAUGCGCAGAUAUCGGGAGGAACACCGGUGGCGAAGGCGGUUCUCUGGGCCUUACCUGACGCUGAGGUGCGAAAGCGUGGGGAGCGAACAGG